ensembl:snRNA U6 U6 spliceosomal RNA
GUGCUUGCUUCAGCAGCACACAUACUAAAAUUGGAAUGAUACAGAGAAGAUUAGCAUGGCCUCUGAGCAAGAGUGACAUGCAAAUUCAUGAAGCAUUCCAUAUUUAA